CGAGAGCAGAGUGGAAAUGUAUACAUAGGGCGAUGGGGAGAAGAGUCUUCGCGUGGAUCCUUUUGAUAACGUGCGUAUCUGGCGUAGCUGAAUGUCUAGCUGCCUGACUGCGAACACGGACAAUACAACGGGUGUCAUUUCUGAAGUUUGUCCUUACAGUCGACACAGGUGAAACCGCAGACACGGCCGUGACACUAGAACGUGCAGUGCAGGGCAGGGUUACCUCGUCAUCCCAAUGUCUCGGUGCAGUCAUGGCCCAUCAACAGCCAGGAUACAGUUUGGCGGGGAAAGGUCUGCACUUUCACAUGUUACAAGAGCAAUUAAUCCAGCCAAACAACACGAAAAUGAAACAAAGGUUUGGUGGCAGCAUGUUGCGGAGAGCCCCGUGGUCAUGUAAUGUUACAUAAUCACACAGCAUCCUGACAUGUGGGCGUCUCCUCCAUCAAGCAUGACUAAGCUGGAUGUUCACCAGGCAGUUCUGGUCAAUUGUAUGGAAAUGACUUAACAAUGGGAGUUAUGUGGGACAUGAAUACAGACUGUCAUUGUCUGUAAAUGCAUGUUAAACAACCAGGCUGAAAAAUGGUGGAUUCUGAUGACCUGACCUAACCUAACCUACUUCUAACAACUCACACAAUCUUGCCAACCUGCAGAUAACAAUAUUAUUCUUGCUCUGGAUUCAUAAAAACAAUCCAUUUCCUACCAAUCCCACACAUGCAUUAUCUAAGCCAUUAAGUAUGGGUUCAUCAGCCAUACCAAGUGAUGGCCACGUUUUGAGGUUAUCAAUAUUAUUCUACUAGCAAUAUUUGUACAGCAUUAAUUUCCACAAUUGGGAACCGAUGACAUCUGACUUGGUUGACACAUGUCAUCGGUUCCCAAUUGCACAGAUCGAUGCUCAUGCUGUUGAUCACUGGACUGUCUGGUCCAGACUCGACUAUUCACAGACAGCCGCUAUAUAGCUGGAAUAUUGCUGAGUGUGGCGUAAAAGUAAACUCACUCAUUCACUGAAAAACAUUAACAAAUAUAAUACUUUGCAAUAAAA